UACGAAGGGGGCUAGCGUUGUUCGGAGUUACUGGGCGUAAAGGGCGCGUAGGCGGCCGCCCAAGUCAGGUGUGAAAGCCCGCGGCUCAACCGCGGAGGUGCACUUGAGACUGGGUGGCUUGAGGACGGGAGAGGAUGGUGGAAUUCCCAGUGUAGAGGUGAAAUUCGUAGAUAUUGGGAAGAACACCGGUGGCGAAGGCGGCCAUCUGGACCGUUUCUGACGCUGAGGCGCGAAAGCGUGGGGAG
rnacentral:rRNA from 1 species